CCCUCCUCCUGCCUCCACCGUCUCAGCUGCCCGGGCUGCAGACAUCUAUGUGGCGACUCUGCGGCCAGAUGUUAUAGGGCAAAGCUAAAAAUAGGGCGGGCCGGCCACCGGCAGGGGUGGGGGUAGGGGUGGGGGCAUGUGCUGGGCGCCGACACAUGAUCCGAGGGGCCCGGCCGAGUGCAGCUGAGAGCCCGGCGGACCGUGCACGCUUCUGUCCCCCACUUGCAGGCCCCCCCCCGCUCCCAGCAAGAGGGGCCCCUCUUCUCUGCCCCGUGUGGGAGGAAAUGCCUUCUCCCGGCCGCAGGAUGGGCAGCGGCGGGAGGAAGGUCAUCUGGGCUCUGUCCUUCCUGCUGCUUGUCCGCGAAGCCAGUUCUGCCAAGAAUAUCUGGAGACGGGCGCUGCACGCCAGGCUGGCCGAGAAGCCCCGCGCCGAGGAGGCGGGGGGCCCCCGGCAGCCCCGCGCGGACCGCUGCCCGCCGCCGCCGCGCUCGCUGCCCCCGGGCGCCUGCCAGGCCGCGCGCUGCCAGGCCGACUCCGAGUGCCCGCGGCACCGGCGCUGCUGCUACAACGGCUGCGCCUACGCCUGCCUGGAGGCCGUGCCGCCCCCGCCAGUUUUAGACUGGCUAGUGCAGCCGAAACCUCGAUGGCUUGGUGGCAACGGCUGGCUCCUGGAUGGCCCUGAGGAGGUGUUGCAAGCCGAGGCCUGCAGCACCACGGAGGACGGGGCGGAGCCCCUCCUCUGCCCCUCGGGCUACGACUGCCACAUCCUGAGCCCCGGAGAUGUGGCCGAGGGCAUCCCCAACCGCGGGCAGUGUGUCAAACAGCGCCGGCAGGCAGAUGGGCGAUUCCUACGACACAAGUUUUACAAGGAAUACCCAGAGGGCGACUCCAAGAAUGUGGCCGAGCCCGGAAAAGGACCCUUGAGGCACUUUCAGUGAGGCAAUGGGGCAGGCGUAUACGAGAAGUGGCUGUGUCGCCAGAAGUUUCCAGACCACCCGGACCUAAAUCCAAAGAUGAGGCUGCAGCCUUCCUUUCCAUGCCUGGUUUUAGGGCCUCCGUGAACGGCCGACGAGUCCCCCGCUGCCCCCCGGAGUCUGUCCCUCUGUCCCUCCCUCCGUCACACGAUACGGUCAAGUGCCAGCUCCGAGACAGGCGCGUGCCGGGCACCCGGUUCCUCAGCAGCCCUUCGGGACGGCCGGGGUUCCUGCUCCUAGGGGCCUCCCCCCGGCAGGAGACCACACAAGUCAGCAAGGAAACCGGCCUGCGAUGCGUGUCGUGAAGGGAACGGACGGGGGCGUGAGGGAGAGUAGCCAGGUCGGGGAGGGGCCGUGCGUGGAGCUCACGUCUGAGCCAAGAUCUGAGACGGGACAGAAGAGCCGCCUUGGGGCGGCCUGGGGAACGGGGCCUGGUCAGGGUAGCUGGAAGAGUAGGAGUCCCAAGGGCAGGAGAGACCGUGGCUUCGAGGAGCCACGGGGAGGCCACCACAGAAUGACGGCAGCGAGGCUGGCACCAGAGGGGUCCCCAGGGAAGGCCCUGCUCUCAGAUGAGAUGCUCCAAGGCAAGAUGUGUGCCUGUGACCGGGAGCAUCUGCUAAGAAAGCCUGAAUGCCCGCCCCACCCCGUGAAGGCCCCACACGUGUGCCCACGGUAAACAGAAGCCCUUCAAAGCAGCUAACGCCCCCCAGAAUGUCCUCGAAAGGCAAACAUCAGGCUUCACAUUCCAGAACAUUCUGGCGCGAGUCCUCCGGCAAGAUCUCGAGCCCUCGAGGAUUGGUGCCAGCGUGUCUCUUACCUGCUGAUGCCAGGAACGGUCCUUGGGCCAGCACGCAGGAACAUUCUUCCACUUUCUGCUAAGCCUUGGAAACCGUUGGACCAAACACGAUUUGACCCCCAGAGGCCAUGCCCAGCUCAACAGAGAUACUCAGACACAGGACACCCGGCUCUCGAUGCCAGCAUGACCCGCCUGGCUGGGUGACUUCGCGGGAGCACUGGGUCCCCGUGUGACCAUCCGGGGAACACAGCACACCUAGCAGCCCCGCUAGACCCGGAGACCCCACGGAGCCCACCCUGGAAGAGGUCACUGCCUUUGUGAGCUGUGUCAAGCCCCUUUCCGUGUCUGUGUUGUUGCGCAUUUCUUCCAGAUUUGUCUCUGGGAGGCAUGUCCCCAUGCCAAAUGUUCUCAAAAUAAAGCGCCCCUUACAAAACAGAAACGAA